GGAAUAUUGGUCAAUGGGGGCAACCCUGAUCUAGCCAUGCCGCGUGAGUGAUGAAGGCCUUAGGGUUGUAAAGCUCUUUCAGCUGUGAAGAUAAUGACGGUAGCAGCAGAAGAAGUCCCGGCUAACUCCGUGCCAGCAGCCGCGGUAAUACGGAGGGGACUAGCGUUGUUCGGAAUUACUGGGCGUAAAGCGCACGUAGGCGGAUCGGAAAGUUGGGGGUGAAAUCCCGGGGCUCAACCCCGGAACUGCCUUCAAAACUAUCGGUCUGGAGGUCGAGAGAGGUGAGUGGAAUUCCGAGUGUAGAGGUGAAAUUCGUAGAUAUUCGGAGGAACACCAGUGGCGAAGGCGGCUCACUGGCUCGAUACUGACGCUGAGGUGCGAAAGCGUGGGGAGCAAA
rnacentral:rRNA from 1 species